GUACAUGCCUAUAGCAUAGCGUUAAUGCACCAACUCCCACUAGAACUCCGCAGUUAAGCACGUUGGGGCUAGAGUAGUAUUGGGAUGAGUGAUCGCCUGGGAAUUCAUAGUGUUUUACAUG
rfam:Picea glauca, whole genome shotgun sequence.